rfam:Streptococcus urinalis 2285-97 final_molecule, whole genome shotgun sequence.
UGAGAAAAGUAGGAGUGAGAGCUCCUCGCCUUGCAACGAAAGUUGUCUGGCCCAAACAUGUCAAAUCUCAAUGAGAUACUAUAUGUGUAUGGGCUUAGAAAUUUUAAGCCCAUUUUCUUUUCUCUAA